GUAGGAAUGAAUAUUAGUACAGCCAUUAUGGAAAACAGUACAGAGGAGAUUCCUUAAAGACAUAAAAGUAGAACUACCAUUUGAUUCAGCAAUCCCACUACUGGAUAUCUACCCAGAGGAAAAGAAGUCAUUACAC